CCCCAGGUGGCUCAGUGGUAAAGAAUCUGCCUGCAAUGCAGGAGACCUGGGUUUGAUCCCUGGGUUGGGAA
rfam:Ovis aries breed Texel chromosome 10, whole genome shotgun sequence.